rnacentral:misc_RNA from 1 species
AAAAAAAAAAAAAAAUCAGAUCCGGCAACUUAAACAACAAAAACCCAAUUCCCUAUACCCAUCAACUCAUAGAGAUCUAAUGCAAUCUACUUCAAAUCAAACAAAAAUAUAUGCCAAACUCUGUCACCUCCCCCAUUUAAGGACAUAUAACAGCAAUGAAACUCACCUACGUGAAUACGUGAGUACUAUAGUGCAAGCUUUUGGUCAAAAGAAGAAAGAGCCUAUCCCACCAUCUCUCUCUCUCUCUCUCUCUCUCUCUCUCUCUCAAUUGAGUCAGCUGAGUACGGCACGGCAAGAGUAGCUUCAGUUCCAGUUAGGGGUCCUCCAGAUUUUUCAGGUGGCAAACUUUGCUCAGUUGUGGGCGUACGUUAAAAAUCAGCAAGCGUACGAUAAGAAUUCGUGUUGUGCGUAUCAAGCGGUUUUUGCAGAGGGUUGUUUUAGCUUGUCUCCCCUGGUGCAAUGGUUUUGUGCUCCACCAGUUUCAACCUCCUAGUGGAAUGAGCUUUUCGUUCUCUGCACCCAACAGCC